GUAGGUGAACCUGCGGAAGGAUCAUUAUAGAGUUCAUGCCCUUACGGGUAGAUCUCCCACCCUUUGAGUACUAUACUUUUGUUGCUUUGGCAGGCCGCUUCGGCUACCGGCUUCGGCUGGUGAGUGCCUGUCGGAGGACUCCAAAUUCUGAAUUAUAGUGUCGUCUGAGAACUAUAUAAUAGUUAAAACUUUCAACAACGGAUCUCUUGGAUCUGGCAUCGAUGAAGAACGCAGCAUCUGACUGACUACG
rnacentral:misc_RNA from 1 species